AGAGUUUGAUUCUGGCUCAGGACGAACGCUGGCGGCAUGCCUAACACAUGCAAGUCGAACGGAGAUUGAGUUGGAGUUUACUUCGACUUAAUCUUAGUGGCGGACGGGUGAGUAACACGUGGGUAAUCUGCCUAUCACAUUGGGAUAACAGGGUGAAAACGCUGCUAAUACCGAAUAAGCUUACAGAUACGGGAGUGUCAGUGAGAAAAGGAGCAAUCCGGUGAUAGAUGAGCCCGCGGCUGAUUAGCUAGUUGGUGGGGUAAAGGCCUACCAAGGCGACGAUCAGUAGCCGGCCUGAGAGGGUGAACGGCCACACUGGAACUGAGACACGGUCCAGACUCCUACGGGAGGCAGCAGUGGGGAAUCUUCCGCAAUGGGCGAAAGCCUGACGGAGCAAUGCCGCGUGAGUGACGAAGGCCUUCGGGUUGUAAAACUCUGUCUUCAGGGACGAAUAAUGACGGUACCUGAGGAGGAAGUCACGGCUAACUACGUGCCAGCAGCCGCGGUAAUACGUAGGUGACAAGCGUUGUCCGGAAUGACUGGGCGUAAAGGGCGUGUAGGUGGACUAAUCAGUCGGAUGUGAAAUAUCCGGGCUUAACCCGGGGGGUGCAUCCGAUACGGUUAGUCUUGAGUGCAGGAGAGGGCAGUGGAAUUCCCAGUGUAGCGGUGAAAUGCGUAGAGAUUGGGAGGAACACCAGUGGCGAAGGCGGCUGCCUGGACUGUAACUGACACUGAGGCGCGAAAGCGUGGGGAGCAAACAGGAUUAGAUACCCUGGUAGUCCACGCCGUAAACGAUGGGUACUAGGUGUAGGAGGUAUCGACCCCUUCUGUGCCGGAGUUAACACAAUAAGUACCCCGCCUGGGGAGUACGGCCGCAAGGUUGAAACUCAAAUGAAUUGACGG
rnacentral:rRNA from 1 species